GAUGAACGCUAGCUACAGGCUUAACACAUGCAAGUCGAGGGGUAACGAGAGGAAAGCUUGCUUUCCUUGUCGACGACCGGUGCACGGGUGAGUAACGCGUAUCCUACCUGCCCCCAACUAGGGAAUAACCUUGCGAAAGUAAGACUAAUACCCUAUAAUUUCCUCAGAUGUCAUCUGACGAGGAAUAAAGAUUUAUCGGUUGUGGAUGGGGAUGCGUCUGAUUAGCUUGUUGGCGGGGUAACGGCCCACCAAGGCAACGAUCAGUAGGGGUUCUGAGAGGAAGAUCCCCCACAUUGGAACUGAGACACGGUCCAAACUACUACGGGAGGCAGCAGUGAGGAAUAUUGGUCAAUGGGCGGAAGCCUGAACCAGCCAAGUAGCGUGCAGGAUGACGGCCCUAUGGGUUGUAAACUGCUUUUAUACAGGAAUAAAGUUAGCCACGUGUGGUUAUCUGUAGGUACUGUAUGAAUAAGGACCGGCUAAUUCCGUGCCAGCAGCCGCAGUAA
rnacentral:rRNA from 1 species